rnacentral:lncRNA from 1 species
UGGGGUCACACUCAAAAGGAGUCUCUGAUUGAUCAUAUGGCUGAUCGAGAUUGAGAAUCGUUCGAAGAUAUAAUCAUCAAUUCGAUUGAUGAUUAAUUUUUUAUAAAAAUUAUAAUAAAUUAAUUCACUAAUUAUUGAUGAAUUAUAGAAGAAUUGAUUAGCAACUAGAUUAUUGACUAGCUCAAUUUGAUUGAGCAUUAAAGUUUGGAUCAAAU